AAAAAAAAUUGAAUUUCUUUGUUAUUGUUAACUAAUAUAUUUGAAAUUGACUGUGCUUCAUUCUAACAAAAGUCUGAAAUUGUGCCACUAAUUGUUUUAUGUAGAAACCAUGCUUUGAUUUAGUUAUGAAAUGUAAAAUCUCUUUAAAGUCUAUCUGUAUAUCUCUUAAAAUUUCUCCCAUCGUGUGGGAUGCCAGUAGUUGCUUGCAAGAUCAAAUUCACUCUUUUACUACAUUGUACCCCCUCAAGUCACAUUGUACCCUUUAAGAUCACCUUAAUAUAUUCAUGUUGGAAAAUGUGUAUUUUAAAUUUUAUGACCAGGCUUCUGUUCAUUCUAACAAAAUCAAUGUUAGUGAUGAUAAAUAUACUAGCAUGUUAUCAAUCUCUACCUCCCAAAAACUGUUGGUGGAGGAUCACAAGCUGAGCUGAUGAAGAAUGUGAUACAGCAUAUCUCUGAGAAAAUGACGCUCAGGUUGUGAAAAAAGUAAAGAGGUUGCAAGUUCACGGUCUUGGAUGGUAAAGCUUUCUCUUUCAUGCUGUAUGGUUGCUAGGUAUCUUUAGGUUCGCUCAGUUUCAUGUGUUGUGGUACUGGCAUCUGGAGGUGGUAUGUACUGGAAACUCUGGAGCUUAAAUAUCAGAAAAAGAGCCACUUCUUCCUCCCAUGUUUGUUAACAUAAUGGUUACUUCAGAAUGUAGGAACAUGCAGACUAUUACUGUUCAUUCUGUAAUUAGUGGUCAAUGAAAAUGAUUUGGCAUCUUUAGGCUUACUAGUUGACCAGAAGUUUUCGUAUAUUGCCAAGGACUUGCUUAGGCUGUUGUAAACUUAUAAUAUCCAGCUUUGAUCAAUAAUCUUGUAGUUAGAUGUUGGAUAAGCAUACUGGGUUAGUGCAUGAGGAGCUGCAUAAACAUACCUGUCUGUGAGCUAGAGUUAACCCUUACCUUUCAUAGCAAGAUAUUUUUCAUUCAAUGAGUUUCUCUACAUGCUCUGGUUUACAGUUCUGCUCUCUGGGGUCCUGCACACAAUCUUGUUUGCUGUAUGGUGGUAAUUAGGUUCUGCUGAGAUCAUGAACAUUUGAUGAUAUCUGCUGUUGAAACUUCAUUAAGAAUGAUGGAAAAGGCAGAAAUGUGAAGUAAAAGGUUCCCUAACCUUUCUCCGAUAUGUCCAUUGUUGGGCAGAUUGAUUUUGGUGGGCUUGGAGAGAUUUACUACCCCUUGACAUCUCCUUUCCCUUUCCUUUUCCUACUAAUCCAAGGUAUCUGUCUCCAUCUCUGCCCUUUCCUUCUUGUUUUCUUCUCCUCUUUCGAAGAGACAGUAAAUUAAUCAUUGGGAAAUGAUGGUACUUUUUAGCAUUAUCAACAAGAGAAGUGGAGUUUACAUAUGACUUUUGCUCCAUUCUUAUGAUUAGAGAUUUGUGCAGCAGCUCUCAUUAUCAUUCAUGUUGCUUCUAGUUUGUCAUUUUUUAGCAUUAUGGUAAUUUUGUUGGCAUCUCUUGUUUGACCAUGGCAUUUCCUGUCUGAAUCUCUUAGCAUGAGCUAUAUAUAUAUUAUUUAGGGUUUGUUUUGAAUGUUUUUUAAAUUUUAACAACUUGGCCUU